UACGUAGGGGGCAAGCGUUGUCCGGAAUUACUGGGCGUAAAGGGCUCGUAGGCGGCCAACUAAGUCGGAUGUGAAAUCCCCAGGCUUAACCUGGGAACUGCAUCCGAUACUGGAUGGCUUGAAUUCGGGAGAGGGAUGCAGAAUUCCAGGUGUAGCGGUGAAAUGCGUAGAUAUCUGGAGGAAUACCGGUGGCGAAGGCGGCAUCCUGGACCGGCAUUGACGCUGAUGAGCGAAAGCUAGGGGAGCAAACGGG
rnacentral:rRNA from 1 species